AGGACGAACGCUGGCGGCGUGCUUAACACAUGCAAGUCGAACGGAAAGGCCCGCUUGCGGGUACUCGAGUGGCGAACGGGUGAGUAACACGUGGGCAACCUGCCCUCAGCUCUGGGAUAACUCCGGGAAACCGGUGCUAAUACUGGAUAUCGACUUCUGCCUCGCAUGGGGUGUUGUUGAAAGUUUUUCGGCUGGGGAUGGGCCCGCGGCCUAUCAGCUUGUUGGUGGGGUGAUGGCCUACCAAGGCGACGACGGGUAGCCGGCCUGAGAGGGCGACCGGCCACACUGGGACUGAGACACGGCCCAGACUCCUACGGGAGGCAGCAGUGGGGAAUAUUGCGCAAUGGGCGGAAGCCUGACGCAGCGACGCCGCGUGAGGGAUGACGGCCUUCGGGUUGUAAACCUCUUUCAGCUCUGACGAAGCGAGAGUGACGGUAGGAGCAGAAGAAGCACCGGCCAACUACGUGCCAGCAGCCGCGGU
rnacentral:rRNA from 1 species